GAUGAAGAACGCAGCGAAAUGCGAUAAGUAGUGUGAAUUGCAGAAUUCAGUGAAUCAUCGAAUCUUUGAACGCACAUUGCGCCCCUUGGUAUUCCAUGGGGCAUGCCUGUUCGAGCGUCAUUUGUACCUUCAAGCUUUGCUUGGUGUUGGGUGUUUGUUCCGCCUCUGUGUGUGAACUCGCCUCAAAACAAUUGGCAGCCGGCGUACUUGUUUCGGAGCGCAGCACAUUUUGCGAUCCAGAUCAACGUACAGCGGCAUCCAAGAAGCCUUAUUUAACGCUCUUGACCUCGGAUCAGGUAGGGAUACCCGCUGAACUUAAGCAUAUCAAUAAGCGGAGGA
rnacentral:misc_RNA from 1 species